rnacentral:rRNA from 1 species
UACAGAGGUGGCAAGCGUUGUUCGGAAUUACUGGGCGUAAAGGGCGCGUAGGCGGUUCGUCAAGUCCUGUGUGAAAUCUCUGAGCUUAACUCAGAACGGCCAAGUGAUACUGCAGUGCUAGAGUGCAGAAGGGGCAAUCGGAAUUCUUGGUGUAGCGGUGAAAUGCGUAGAUAUCAAGAGGAACACCUGAGGUGAAGACGGGUUGCUGGGCUGACACUGACGCUGAGUGCGCGAAAGCCAGGGGAGCAAACGGG